rnacentral:lncRNA from 1 species
UUUUUUUUUAUUCCUUCCUAGGUUUUCUCUCCCAAAUUUUUUCCUCUGGAAUUUGGCAAAUGACCAGGUGAAUCCAGUCUACCCUCAACCUCUCACUGCCUUUCCCAUGUCCUUGUGCCAGCUUGCCCUUGUUAAGUAAACCCCGAACCUCUUUCAAACCCUAGCUCCGAAAUAUUGGAACUAGGAAUCCUGCCUUUGUAUUUACAGAGGAGCUAUCAUUUCCCUUGUUCUGUUAAUCCUCCAAAAAAUUCCAGAGAUCAUUCUUCC